rnacentral:lncRNA from 1 species
CCCUAUAUUUAUCUAACCAGUGCAUACCAAGGAUUACAUCAACCCCUAAAAAGUCUAAUAGUAUUAGAUCUGCAAUGAGUUCUUUCUCUAAGACAUUUACUUUACAAUUUUUAUAUACACAAAAGGCUUCUAAUAGUCCCCAAGAGGGUGUCUCUAAAGCUAAAAUCUUUCUUAGAUGUUCUAGUUUAAGGUUUAAUUAUUAAGAAAAAUUACAAGAUACGAAAGAGUGACAAAAGGCAU